UUCACUACGCACAAAACACAAGGAAUAGAAUAAAUUCACUUAUCACAAUCACUAGUUUUCACAUUACUUACCGGAGCAAAGAAUCACUUCACAAAACACGAUAACGCUUGCGCACACACCUCCGCCUCCAGCAAAGGCCAAACUCAUAUGAAUACGCCAAAGACAGGGCAAAAGCAAUUUUGUAGUGAAAGAAAGGAGACAGCGAAAAACAAUAUAGUGCCACACUCCUCGACAGGCUUCAAAGUGUGGAACCAAAAUUGUCUAACACUUCGAGUAUGGGACCGUUCAGGUGUGGGGUGGGUUGGUGACGCAGGUUGCGGUGAGGGUUUACAUAGAAUAUAGGAGCGUGUGUGAGUGAGGUAGGGUGGUGGAGUGAGAGUUUGUCGUUCGAUCGCUCGAAAGUGAGGGUCAGGGGUAGCGAGAAUGAAGAAAUUUCCCCCCUCUCAUGCGAUUUCUGCCAA